rnacentral:rRNA from 1 species
AUAGCAAUACCGGGCUCUAUGAGACUGGUAAUUGGAAUGAGUACAAUCUAAAUCCCUUAACGAGGAUCCAUUGGAGCGCAAGUCUGGUGCCAGCAGCGCGGUAAUUCCAGCUCCAA